UCUAAAAUUUCUGAUGGACCAACAAAAACAACACUCAUAAAACAUGUUGUUUUCCCCAAAUGAAAAAAACUAAUAUGCAGGUAUCGUUGUUAUUCUUCCUCGUCAUACAUAGCAUCUCUAGAGUUUUAUAAGAGCGUCUCUUUGCCACACUAAGAAGCUGUCGAAAUCACAAGGCUUCUCGUUGGAUUUCUCGUCUUCCCAAAUCAGUGUCUCGUAAAAGCGUUUCUUUGAAUAUUUUGUUCAUAAUUUUCUCAUCGGCUUCUCUAAACGAUUCCCUAUAUGCAAAGGAAACUGAGAGACUCUUUCUAAAAGCAGUGACUCGAAAGGAAGCUCAAGCGGUAAAAGAAGAAGAAUGAAUGAGAUUAGAAGCUGAGGAAUAAAAGGAGAAACAAAUCCAGAUGUGCUGGCUGUAGCUGCAUUUAAACAAACAUUGUCAUGGAUUUUAUGGAGUUUCCAAACGUCUCCUUGUAGCUCUGGAAUAUUUCCGUCUUAUGAUCGACAUAGCUCUGCAUUUUUAUAGUCAAGCUGCUGACUUAUAUUUUUCAUCUUUUGUAACUCUUUAUCCAUAUUGUCCACUUUUGAAGAAAGUGUAGUAAUGCCUUUGAGUAUUUCUUCCAUUGUAUCUUUUUCUGGCUCAGUUUGGGUUCCUUUGUCUUGAUAGGUAGUCUGCAAUAACAUUUUCGUAAGUUUUUAUUACCUCAAUUGUAAAUGUAAAAUUUUGUAUAUUUAAUACAA